CGGUAUUGCCCUAGUACGGCGAGUGAAGCGGCAACAGCUCAAAUUUGAAAGCUAGCCUUCGGGUUCGCAUUGUAAUUUGUAGAGGAUGAUUUGGGGAAGCCGCCUGUCUAAGUUCCUUGGAACAGGACGUCAUAGAGGGUGAGAAUCCCGUAUGUGACAGGAAAUGGCACCCUAUGUAAAUCUCCUUCGACGAGUCGAGUUGUUUGGGAAUGCAGCUCUAAAUGGGAGGUAAAUUUCUUCUAAAGCUAAAUAUUGGCGAGAGACCGAUAGCGCACAAGUAGAGUGAUCGAAAGAUGAAAAGCACUUUGGAAAGAGAGUUAAAAAGCACGUGAAAUUGUUGAAAGGGAAGCGCUUGCAAUCAGACUUGUUUAAACUGUUCGGCCGGUCUUCUGACCGGUUUACUCAGUUUGGACAGGCCAGCAUCAGUUUCGGCGGCCGGAUAAAGGCUCUGGGAAUGUGGCCUCCACUUCGGUGGAGGUGUUAUAGCCCAGGGUGUAAUACGGCCAGCCGGGACUGAGGUCCGCGCUUCGGCUAGGAUGCUGGCGUAAUGGUUGUAAGCGACCCGUCUGAAACCGGGAAAACA
rnacentral:rRNA from 1 species